rnacentral:rRNA from 1 species
UAUGACCAUAUCACAUUGAAACACUUGUACUCAUACGAUCACUGAAGUUAAGCAAUGUCGAGUCUGGUCAUUACCUAGAUAGGUGACCGCUUGGGAAUACCAGGUGCUGUAAG